UGCGGAAGGAUCAUUAGAUUGAAUUAUCAUUGUUGCUCGAGUUCUUGUUUAGAUCUUUUACAAUAAUGUGUAUCUUUAUUGGAGAUGUGCGCUUAAUUGCGCUGCUUCAUUAGAGUGUCGCAGUAGAAGUAGUCUUGCUUGAAUCUCAGUCAACGUUUACACACAUUGGAGUUUUUUUACUUUAAUUUAAUUCUUUCUGCUUUGAAUCGAAAGGUUCAAGGCAAAAAACAACCACAAACAAUUUUAUUUUAUUAUAAUUUUUUAAACUAAACCAAAAUUCCUAACGGAAAUUUUAAAAUAAUUUAAAACUUUCAACAACGGAUCUCUUGGUUCUCGCAUCGAUGAAGAACGUAGCGAAUUGCGAUAAGUAAUGUGAAUUGCAGAUACUCGUGAAUCAUUGAAUUUUUGAACGCACAUUGCGCCCUUGAGCAUUCUCAAGGGCAUGCCUGUUUGAGCGUCAUUUCCUUCUCAAAAGAUAAUUUUUUAUUUUUUGGUUGUGGGCGAUACUCAGGGUUAGCUUGAAAUUGGAGACUGUUUCAGUCUUUUUUAAUUCAACACUUAGCUUCUUUGGAGACGCUGUUCUCGCUGUGAUGUAUUUAUGGAUUUAUUCGUUUUACUUUACAAGGGAAAUGGUAAUGUACCUUAGGCAAAGGGUUGCUUUUAAUAUUCAUCAAGUUUGACCUCAAAUCAGGUAGGAUUACCCGCUGAACUUAAGCAUAUCAAUA
rnacentral:rRNA from 1 species